rnacentral:tRNA from 1 species
CCUUUCGUAGCUCAGUCAGCAGAGCAGCGGCCCGAUAAGCCGCAGGUCGCAGGUGCGAACCCUGCCGGAAGGACCA